rnacentral:rRNA from 1 species
AAUAUUGCACAAUGGAGGAAACUCUGAUGCAGCGACGCCGCGUGAACGAUGAAGGCUUUCGGGUCGUAAAGUUCUGUCCUAGGGGACGAUAAUGACGGUACCCUAGGAGGAAGCCCCGGCUAACUACGUGCCAGCAGCCGCGGUAGUACGUAGGGGGGCGAGCGUUGUCCGGAAUUAUUGGGCGUAAAGGGUUGGCAGGCGGUCUUUUAAGUCAGAUGUGAAAGAUCACGGCUCAACCGUGGUAAGCAUUUGAAACUGGGGGACUUGAGUUAUGGAGGGGAAAGUGGAAUUCCUAGUGUAGCGGUGAAAUGCGUAGAUAUUAGGAGGAAUACCAGUGGCGAAGGCGACUUUCUGGACAUAUACUGACGCUGAGGAACGAAAGCGUGGGGAGCAAACAG